rnacentral:lncRNA from 10 species
GUUUCUGCCACUCUUGAGUCCUAGUCAAAGCUGUCAGUCCUUGUUAUGUGUUCAUAGGUGGCAUUUGGUGAUUUGGGAGGUGAUUCGUCGAUGUUAGGGCAGCGCCCUGCUUUCACCGUUCUGCUUGACAAUAUGUAGGCUGUUCAUCAAGCAUUCUGACUCUAGAGUGAAACUUCAGGGUUCAGAUACCAGCUCCACUACUUACAGCAGAGUGACCUUAGGCCAACUUAUUGUACAUUUGUCUCAGUUUGCAACAUCUCUAGAAUGGGGAUGAUAAGUCUUGUACGAGGGUUUCUCACAUGAGACAGUGCAUUAAAGUUCAUGGCACAGUGGCUGGCACACAGUAAGUAAUGGGUGUUAGCUAUUACUAUGAUCUUUUCCUUUUUAUUUACUGUGUAAGAAGUAGAUUCAUUUCUCAGAUUAUUUUUAAUGUCUGUGCCUCUGGUUUCUGGCUCUUUUCUUCCAGCCUGCAUAUAGAGCUUUUCUAGCCUAAAUAUUCCCUGUACCCCUCUCUACUCCCCGCUUUUCCUUGAAUCUCUCUCUCAUCUAUAUUAUCUUUGCCUCUAUUUACCAUUACCAUUUAAUGUCAUGAAAAGAAAAAGAAUUCUUGGUCAGCAUUUCUUCUUCCUUACCUCUCACUCGUUCCUCAAUAAACUGAAUAUAGCUUCUGACUUAGUCAUGCUACCAAAUUUUUCUUGGGAAAAUCAUCAGUGACUUUGUAUAAUAACUCCCAAAUUCAGAGGUUGAUUUUCAGUUAUUGUCCCCUUCAUCAGUUUUAGCAUUGCUUACCACAAGUCUUUCUUAAACUCUCUCUACCUUUGUAGAAUGCACCUCUGCUGGUAUUUCUAUCUCUUGUACCAUUAUGUUUCAAUUGCCUUUCCUGACUUUUCUUUCUUUGAGUUUAAUUUAGGUAUUGCUGCUUAUACCUAGAACCUCUAAUGUCAAAAAUUCAGCAGACCCAGCCAAUACUAAUAAUGAGUAAAAAGCAAACGAGUAAAUGGAGUGUGUUCCAGGAUGGGCUAAUAGAGCUCCAGGGAAAGCUGGGUUAUGGGAGUGAGUGGACUGCACGUGGGAGGAAGGAAGAACUCAGGGUCACUAAAGGAGCAGCUUCCUGACCUGGGAGUAUUUGGCAGGAAUCUUCAGGUAUUGGAUCCUGAUACAGACCAGAUAUUCUGGAAUUCUCUCUCCAACAAAAGAUUACUUCAAGGCCAGAACACACUCCCAGCUAGAGAUCCAAGUGCAGAGAAUGGACUGAUGGCAGAAGACGGGGGAGAUGGGAGAAUGAAAUUAAGAGGAAACAGCAAUAAUCUGGGUGACAGAGAGUGGGGACUUGGCUUAGCCAGAGGAAAUGCACUAGAUUGGUAAGUGUCGUAUUUGACUGUUUGGCUAUUACUUCCAAUUGUCAGACAAAUAAUUAUUGAGCUCAUAUCAUGUACCAGGCACUGUUCUCAAUGCAAGAGAGGCAAUGCUUUUUUAUUUAAUUUUUUUCCAUUUAGAGCUUAGAUUCCAGUAGGGAAGAUAGAUAAAAUAUAUGCAAAUUAAUAAAUGAGAUAACUACCAAUUGGGAUAAGAGUUUUGCAGAGAGCAAAUGAACAAACAAGAGGUGAGAAAAAUAACAAGUCAGGAUUUGGGGUGGGCUGGUUUUUCAUGCUUCUUUUAGGAGAAAUCACUCUAAAGUGGCAUGGAACCUGAAAACUACAGAAUGAGAAGCAGCAGCUGUCCAGGGGAAGAGUCAGGGGAAAAACCAUCAGGCUUAGGGAAUGGCACCCACAGGAUGGAGCCAGUGUCACUGGAGCCCUGUGAGCAAGAGCCGGAGCAGAGUGAAUGGCAGUGGGAGAGGUACACAGGACCCAAGUUUUGUAGAGUUGCCUG